CGGACGGCUGAGUAACGCGUGGGUGACCUGCCCCGAAGUGGGGAAUAACUGCCCGAAAGGGUGGCUAAUACCGCAUGUGGUGGUGUAUUCGAUUACACCAGUAAAGCCGCAAGGCGCUUCGGGAGGGGCCUGCGUACGAUUAGCUCGUUGGCGAGGUAACGGCUCACCAAGGCGACGAUCGUUAGGUGGUCUGAGAGGAUGAUCAGCCAGACUGGGACUGAGAACGGCCCAG
rnacentral:rRNA from 1 species